GAUGAACGCUGGCGGCGUGCUUAACACAUGCAAGUCGAACGGAAAGGCCAGUCCUUGCCCUGCUACUCGAGUGGCGAACGGGUGAGUAACGCGUGGUUGCUCUGCCCUGUACUUCGGGAUAAGCUUGGGAAACUGGGUCUAAUACCGGAUAGGACAGCUUUAUGUAUAUUGUUGUGGAAAGCUUUUGUGGUAUGGGAUGAGCUCGCGGUCUAUCAGCUUGUUGGGGGGGUAUUGGCCUACAAAGGCGUCGCCGGGUAGCCGGCCUGAGAGGGUGUACGGGCACAUUGGGACUGAGGUACGGGCAAGACUGAUACGGGAGGCAGCAGUGGGGAACAGAGCGAAAAGGGCGGAAGGAGGAUGGAGGGACGUCGGGUGGGGGAGGAAGGCCGUCGGGGUGUAAACGGCUUUCGAUAGGGACGAAGCGCAAGUGACGGUACCUGGAGAAGAAGCACCGGCUAACUACGUG
rnacentral:rRNA from 1 species